UACGUAGGGCGCAAGCGUUGUCCGGAAUUAUUGGGCGUAAAGAGCUCGUAGGCGGUCUGUCGCGUCUGGUGUGAAAAUCCAGGGCUUAACCCUGGACCUGCAUCGGGUACGGGCAGACUAGAGUGCGGUAGGGGAGAUCGGAAUUCCUGGUGUAGCGGUGAAAUGCGCAGAUAUCAGGAGGAACACCGGUGGCGAAGGCGGAUCUCUGGGCCGUAACUGACGCUGAGGAGCGAAAGCAUGGGGAGCGAACAGG
rnacentral:rRNA from 1 species